rnacentral:rRNA from 1 species
GACGAACGCUGGCGGCGUGCUUAACACAUGCAAGUCGAACGGAAAGGCCCUGCUUUUGUGGGGUGCUCGAGUGGCGAACGUGUGAGUAACACGAGAGUAACCUGCCCUUGACUUUGGGAUAACUUCAGGAAACUGGGGCUAAUACCGGAUAGGAUCUCCUGCUGCAUGGUGGGGGUUGGAAAGUUUCGGCGGUUGGGGAUGGACUCGCGGCUUAUCAGCUUGUUGGUGGGGUAGUGGCUUACCAAGGCUUUGACGGGUAGCCGGCCUGAGAGGGUGACCGGCCACAUUGGGACUGAGAUACGGCCCAGACUCCUACGGGAGGCAGCAGUGGGGAAUAUUGCACAAUGGGCGGAAGCCUGAUGCAGCAACGCCGCGUGCGGGAUGACGGCCUUCGGGUUGUAAACCGCUUUCGCCUGUGACGAAGCGUGAGUGACGGUAAUGGGUAAAGAAGCACCGGCUAACUACGUG